GCGCCUGUAGCUCAACUGGAUAGAGCGACGGACUACGAAUCCGUAGGCUGGGUGUUCAAGUCACCCCAGGCGCA
rnacentral:tRNA from 1 species